UACGUAGGGUGCAAGCGUUGCCCGGAAUUAUUGGGCGUAAAGAGCUUGUAGGCGGUUUGUCGCGUCUGCUGUGAAAUUUCGGGGCUCAACCCCGAACUUGCAGUGGGUACGGGCAGACUAGAGUGUGGUAGGGGAGACUGGAAUUCCUGGUGUAGCGGUGAAAUGCGCAGAUAUCAGGAGGAACACCGAUGGCGAAGGCAGGUCUCUGGGCCAUAACUGACGCUGAGAAGCGAAAGCAUGGGGAGAGAACAGG
rnacentral:rRNA from 1 species